AUGGACCAUUCCAUCCCCUUUUCCCGUGCAUAUGCAUCGGACUCGGAUGACGAUGGUCCCGAUGAACAAGUUGAUGCGGAGGGGUUCACGGUGAAGGAGGCCGAAGCUUUCGAGAAGGUAUUUGGUCGGGAUCAUCGGACUACAUUGUUCAAGGAUGUUAGUCUCGCGGAUGAAGCCGUGGUAGAUGGUGGCCAAUGUGUACCUCUUGGGGUUAGGCCAAGCUCUCACCGUGAUUUGGUAGACGACAAGAACCGGAUUGCUAAAGGUUCUAAGUUCGACAGCUUGUUGGAUUUGAAGAUGUGGCUCGACAACUACUCGGUUACGCAUUAUCGUCCACACAAGGUGGUGCACUCGGACGUCAAUGUGCGCUACACGGUUGCAUGUGCAUGUGAAGAUGAAAAGGAGGUCCAACUUGGACUUACAAGAGGCCGUGGUGGUGGUAGAGGUCGUGGAAAGGAGGUCCAACAAGGAGUGGCAAGACGCCGUGGCGGUUGUCCGUGGAUUGUGCGUGCAAGACCAUGGAAAGGAGGUCCUACUUGGCAUGUAGUGAGUUGUGUGCCAACUCACAUGUGCCAAGGCAAAAGGGUGGAUGGCAAGAUUGUGUCCGAAAACCACAAACAACUCACGUCCGAGUUCAUCGCUUACAGGCUCUCCAACUCAAUAUCCACACUUCCAACAAUGAGCGUCCAACAUGUGCUGGAUAAGUCACAGUGCAGCGCCUAG
rnacentral:rRNA from 1 species